AUGAACGCUGGCGGCGUGCCUAAUACAUGCAAGUCGAGCGGACGGACGAGAAGCUUGCUUCUCUGAUGUUAGCGGCGGACGGGUGAGUAACACGUGGAUAACCUACCUAUAAGACUGGGAUAACUUCGGGAAACCGGAGCUAAUACCGGAUAAUAUUUUGAACCGCAUGGUUCAAAAGUGAAAGACGGUCUUGCUGUCACUUAUAGAUGGAUCCGCGCUGCAUUAGCUAGUUGGUAAGGUAACGGCUUACCAGGGCAACGAUGCAUAGCCGACCUGAGAGGGUGAUCGGCCACACUGGAACUGAGACACGGUCCAGACUCCUACGGGAGGCAGCAGUAGGGAAUCUUCCGCAAUGGGCGAAAGCCUGACGGAGCAACGCCGCGUGAGUGAUGAAGGUCUUCGGAUCGUAAAACUCUGUUAUUAGGGAAGAACAUAUGUGUAAGUAACUGUGCACAUCUUGACGGUACCUAAUCAGAAAGCCACGGCUAACUACGUG
rnacentral:rRNA from 1 species